UUCGAUAUCCAUUAGUAUGACAUUGCACCAGACAAGUUUCCGCUUUGUUUGUACACACUUGACUUCUGCAGAGAAAGAAGGUGAUGAGGCCAGAAGAAACUUAGGCGUCACAGAAGUUUUAAAGGAAACAAGGUUUUCUCAUUCAUAUAAAGAUCUUCAUCAAUCACUUCCUCCAGAAAGCAUACUGGAACACGAGUAAGAUUUUUCCUUUCCUCUUUGAUCCUGCAAUAUUGAUCUUUUUAGUUUAAAAUUUUGAGUGUUUCUUGUUUCUUACUCCCUGUGCAUCAUCACUGUCUGGCUUGGGGAUCUAAAUUAUCGACUUGCUUCUGGUCGUGGUGACACGCAUGAUCUGCUGAAGAGAAAUGACUGGCAGGCACUUUUAAAGAGAGAUCAGUUAAAGAUAGAGCAGACAGCUGGUGGGGUAUUUGAAGGGUGGGAAGAAGGAAGGAUAUAUUUUCCUCGAACUGACAAAUACAUGAUGAAUUCGGAUUGUUAUGUGGUUCAAACAUCAAAUUCUAAAGAAAAGCGACGACCACCUGCGUGGCGAGAUUCCAAACCCUCUUGCAUUUGCAUUUGGAUUCUUCAGUAGAACACAUUCUUCAGUAGUUUCUUCAGUUUCAAGUUGCCUUUUUCUUUAAUUCUUUAGAUUUGUUUAAGUUUGCAAUGUAAUAGCUAAUACUGCAUUUGUAGGUGCGAUCGGAUAUUGUGGAAAGGGAAAGGAGUUAAACAAAUGUGUUAUAUAAGAGGAAGAGUCCAAAUUCUCAGACCACAGACGAGUAUUUUCCCUAUUUUCUGUCCAACUCAACUUAGAAAACAAGCCUAAAUUUCUCACCAUUAAUGCCCCGAGAAGCUGCCCGUCAAAAGUUUCAACAAAUACUGCUUUGUCAUCUUCCUGUGUGGCCAAAGUGCAAGCUGAAGAACUCCUGAUAUUUCCCAAGGCAAAAAGCUGCCUCAACAAGACAUCAAGCUUCUGAUGUCUCACUGCCCACAUUGAAGUAGUCUGAUAGCUACAGACUUGACACAGGCACCGAUGAGCACCACCUGACACCUCAAGUGCCCCCUUUUGGGGCCGCGUGUUAAGUGGGUGAUGUUGUUCAAAUUGUAUGUGUAAGUUAUUUGCUCGAGGAAUAUUUCUUCCUGGUUUUCAUUGCUUUUUGCAAUGUGAUGGAUCGGAUGAGAAAUAUGACUAGAACUGCAUGUUGGUUUGGCGUGCGUGGUUGUUGCAGGCUUGAUUUUGUGCGGGUGGAGGAUGGGGAUAUGGUGUAAAUAUGUGAAGCAGAAGACAUGGAGGAAAUGGAAGGAAUCUAACCAAGUGUUAAUGGUUCUGGUUGAGAAAAUGUUUCUUAGCUUUUUGCAGGGCAGUGUCAUCUUUGUUUCAGUAGUUUAUUUCAUUGGUGGAAGAAAAACAGAUAGAUGUUAAGUUCAACUGUAAAUUAGGAUCAAAAUAGACCACAGGGGUGAUCAAGUAUAUCUCCCUAAUGCUAACCCAUAAGGAAGACUUCAUAAUGAUGAGCUCAUAAGCUGCUUUAUCCA